AUUGUGGAAUCGGGAUUACUGAACACGGACAAUGAGCUGAAAUUCCCUAUCAAUGAUAGCUUGUUGGUUGGUAAUGGAGCUGGAUCGAGCUCUGCUCCCUCUUCAUCAGCUUUAUAUCCUAUCAUAGACCUCGGUGAUAUGGAACCACCUCUCCCUUCGGUAUCUCCUGCUAUGCCUAUCCAUGUGUUGCAGCCACCGCCUUCACCUGUCCCUUCUGCUAUGCCUAUCCCGAUGCCGCCGCCACCACCACCUCCUGCAGCACACAUUGCCAUUGUACCCGAAUCUGUUGAGCUUCCCGAAAAGCAACUAAUGGAGGAUAAACUUCUGAGGGAACUUGAGGAGAUGGGCUUCAAACAGGUGGAUCUAAACAAGGAAGUAUUGAGGAUGAACGAGUAUGAU
rnacentral:lncRNA from 1 species